rfam:Arabis alpina cultivar Pajares chromosome 1, whole genome shotgun sequence.
GAGCUGUGAUGAGAUUGGCUUCAGCUAUGGUUGGGUCCAUAGUACUCAUCUGAUUUCUAGAUGAUCACGCCUCACUUCUGAGCUC